ACUUGAUGCUGCAUAAUUCUGUUCUUGCUCAGUCACAAAUCAAGGUAGAAGGCUGAAUUUGACAUGUUAGCUGGAUUUUGCCAACCUCUGACUGAGAUCCUCAACCAAUGAGUAAUCCUGCAAUAAAGAUGAACGUAUUCUAAGAUUUGUUUUGCUGAAUAUAGAUCUGUGAAUAGAGGUACCUGCAUUAUAUUUCUAUCACUGGAUUUCCCUCAAUUGUUUUAUUCUUAUUAAAAUAAAUAUUGGAUGAAAAAUCCAAAGGUAAGUAAUAGU
rnacentral:lncRNA from 1 species